rnacentral:rRNA from 1 species
GAUGAACGCUGGCGGCGUGCCUAAUACAUGCAAGUCGAGCGAAUGGAUUAAGAGCUUGCUCUUAUGAAGUUAGCGGCGGACGGGUGAGUAACACGUGGGUAACCUGCCCAUUAGACUGGGAUAACUCCGGGAAACCGGGGCUAAUACCGGAUAACAUUUUGAACCGCAUGGUUCGAAAUUGAAAGGAGGCUUCGGCUGUCCCUUAUUGCUGGACCCGCGUCGCAUUAGCUAGUUGGUGAGGUAACGGCGCACCAAGGCAAAGAUGCGUAGCCGACCUGAGAGGGUGAUCGGCCACACUGGGACUGAGACACGGCCCAGACUCCUACGGGAGGCAGCAGUAGGGAAUCUUCCGCAAUGGACGAAAGUCUGACGGAGCAACGCCGCGUGAGUGAUGAAGGCUUUCGGGUCGUAAAACUCUGUUGUUAGGGAAGAACAAGUGCUAGUUGAAUAAGCUGGCACCUUGACGGUACCUAACCAGAAAGCCACGGCUAACUACGUGCCAGCCGCCGCGGUAA